rnacentral:rRNA from 1 species
GAUGAACGCUGGCGGCGUGCCUAACACAUGCAAGUCGAGCGAACAGACGAGGAGCUUGCUCCUCUGACGUUAGCGGCGGACGGGUGAGUAACACGUGGAUAACCUACCUAUAAGUCUGGGAUAACUUCGGGAAACCGGAUCUAAUACCGGAUAACAUGUUGAACGGCAUGGUUCAGCAGUGAAAGACGGUUUUGCUGUCACUUAUAGACGGAUCCGCGCCGCAUUAGCUAGUUGGUAAGGUAACGGCUUACCAAGGCAACGAUGCGUAGCCGACCUGAGAGGGUGAUCGGCCACACUGGAACUGAGACACGGUCCAGACUCCUACGGGAGGCAGCAGUAGGGAAUCUUGCGCAAUGGGCGAAAGCCCGACGGAGCAACGCCGCGUGAGUGAUGAAGGUCUUCGGAUCGUAAAACUCUGUUAUUAGGGAAGAAAAAAUGUGUAAGUAACUAUGGACGUCUUGACGGUACCUAAUCAGAAAGCCACGGCUAACUACGUG